GCAAUUCUACUGCGGUUUAUGGCAAUGAAUCGAACAAUCGUAUUUGCGCUAUUUUAGAACCAACAUUGUAUUUGUUGUUGCUUGAAUAUAAAUUAAAUUUAGAAACGAUUAUAAGUUCAACAAUUUUAAAAUAUGAUUUGCAAAUAUUUCUUUUUGGAGACGAUUGUUCCUAUCACAGCCCCUCCCUCCAAUACGCCACUGUGAGCAAACUGUUUUAUUCAGCAUUUACUUUAACUUAACCAUUUAAUCUUUAGAUACAAAUUCUUCAUCUUCUAGUACAAGUUUAUUCUUCAUUGCAUUGUGUGUUUCAUUACUUUUAAUGGCACUAGUCUGGAUAUUUUAUGCUUAUUUAAAUCCACAUACACGAUCUGGGCAAAUGCUAAUAAGAUAUCGACCAAAUCAGUGGGGCUGGGGAAAAGGAGAAGCUCGUUAUACAGCUGCUACCAUUCAUAUGUAAAAAGAAACAAGUAAUGACAUCAUCCAAAUAACUAACAACAUAAAGUGUUGGGAGUUUGGUGGUUGAAGUUAUAAAUAUGGAAUAUUAAAUUGAUAACAAAAAAAACAUCCGUAACGGUGAUUUUUGAAAAUAACCAAGUUUUUAGUGAAAAUAUGAAUCAUAAAUAUAUAUAUUAUUUUGCAUAAUGCAGCUAAUGUUAUUUUCUAACUUCAAUAAACUAACCUAUUGUUACUUAAAACUUUUAUUUUAAAAUUUUUAUAAAUGUUAUUCAAUUUAUUAUAUGUAUGGGUCCUAAAAUGGGAAGAUAGAUUUUUGGAUAACGUAAACCAUUAUUUAUUCUGUAUGAAACUUUGUUGUCUUACAUUUUAUUAAUGAUUGCAAAAGUUUGACAAUUUUGAAAAAAAUAGUCACUCACAUACCUCAUUACUUAGAAAACUUUUUUCAGUGUUUUAGUAUAUAUUGUAUUAAACAUAAUCAUUCAAAUGGUAUUCAUAGAAUAUUUUUUACAAUUUUUCUACGUAUCUUGUUUCUAUUAUACGCUUUUUUUUAUAACAAGUAACAACUGACUAAACAUUUUCAAAUUUGUAUACGUUAUUAUAGUACCUAGUUUAAAAUAAAAAUUUUUUACAUGUACUUGCCUAUAAGUUUGUUUAUUGUAGGACUUAAUAUUUUUUUUUUUGAAAAUAAAAUAACAGUUGUUCAGUAUACUACCAAAAAAUAUCCCUAUGAUGAAGUAUAAUAAAUAAAUAGUAAAUACCAUACCAAAUAUUAAUAAUUCUCAACUCAUUUUAAUUAAUCCACUUAGUUAUUAUUUUAAAUCUAAUUUUAAAAAUUGCAUUAACUUAGUUUAUCAAAUAGCUAUUAUUCCUAAGACUUUGUUAAAGAAACUCAUCACUUUCACUACCUAGUGUGAUAUGCAUGUAACUAGGGUUCUUAUUUGAUACACCGAUGUCCCACGUAGGUGACAUGGUAUUCUUUCUUUUCGUAUAUCAUUUUUAUAUAUUGGUUUAUUUAAACUAACAUAAAAAUGUUCAUGUUUUUUUAUUUAAAACAAUUAUUAUCUACUGAUAUGAUUAAUUUAUAAAUUGAGCCAAUAAGUUUUGUUAUUUGAAAUCACUUGAUGUAACAUGGUUUACCCAAGAAAUCUCAAUUUUAACAUUUCAGACAAAUACAAUUAUAAUGAACUAAAGGGCCUCCUGUUGCUUCACUUGCCCACUUUUAACUCAACUGUCAUUUGUAAAAUUUAUAAUAAUAAAAACAAAAAAAUGAUUGUAUUGAUAUUAUUUUUAAUUGUAAAAUAAAUAGUAUUAUUCACUAAAAAAAUAAUUUCUUAUAUAUUAGAGAGAUGUAGCCUAUUGAACAACGCCUUAAAUAUUUUUACGGAUAUAUAUUUUAACUGUUUUUGUUGUAAUAGAAAAAUAUGUAAUAUAAUUAUGCAAGUGGCGUAAUUAGGGACGGGAAGCAUAAGGAUUUAUUUUCCUUGAGAUAUAUAAAUCGUAAUAUUUUUAUUGAUAAAACAAACAUUUAUAUCUUUAUUAUUGUAUUCAAUCGCCUCUCAUUGAUAAUUCUAAUUACACCGCCGGGUUACGCACAUUUUAUAUUGUACUUGUAUGUUCCAAUUUUUUUUAUAACACAAGUAAAAAAUAUUGAAAUAGUGAUAUUCAUUAUAUUAUGUUUAAAUUAAGUUUAUUGUUUUUUCUUCUGUUGAUCUUAUGAAAUUACAAAAUUUGUGACAUUCUCCUUAUAUUAAAAUUUUUUUUAUUGUUAAACAUAAUAACAAAAUAGGUAUUAUAUUUACAUGAUAUAAUAUGAUCAGAUUUCGUAUCAAACUAAACUUUUAAUUUGUUUUUAUGUUACUUUAUCAGCCAAAUGAUUAAUUUUUUAAUCCUGUGUUUCAUUAUAUUUUGUAAAUGAUCUUCUCAUAAAUAAUGAACAACUUGAACUAUUUUAAGUAAUGUUUCAUUUGCUUAACUUUUAAUUACAUUUAGUUAAAUAUAUUAUUGUACUCUAAUAAUUUCUUAUUUCUGUAAUAAUGAGCUUUAUACAUUUUAAUGAGUUUUAUAUAUAUAAUUGUUAAAAAAUAAAUGUUCACUGGUAUAUUUCAUAAUCUAA